rnacentral:rRNA from 1 species
GAUCCUGGCUCAGAAUCAACGCUGGCGGCGUGCCUCAGACAUGCAAGUCGAACGAUUAAAGCUCCCUUCGGGGAGUGCAUAAAGUGGCGCACGGGUGAGUAACACGUAAGUAAUCUACCCUCGGGUGGGGAAUAACGUCCGGAAACGGACGCUAAUACCGCAUAAUGCAGCGGCACCGCAAGGUGACAGUUGUUAAAGAUUUAUUGCCUGGGGAGGAGCUUGCGGCAGAUUAGCUAGUUGGUAAGGUAACGGCUUACCAAGGCUACGAUCUGUAUCCGGUCUAAGAGGACGGUCGGACACACUGACACUGAAUAACGGGUCAGACUCCUACGGGAGGCAGCAG